rnacentral:rRNA from 1 species
UACGUAGGGUGCGAGCGUUGUCCGGAAUUAUUGGGCGUAAAGGGCUCGUAGGCGGUUUGUCGCGUCGGGAGUGAAAACCCAGGGCUUAACCCUGGGCUGGCUUCCGAUACGGGCAGACUAGAGGUAUGCAGGGGAGAACGGAAUUCCUGGUGUAGCGGUGAAAUGCGCAGAUAUCAGGAGGAACACCGGUGGCGAAGGCGGGUCUCUGGGCAGCAACUGACGCUGAGGAGCGAAAGCGUGGGGAGCGAACAGG